GAUGAACGCUGGCGGCGUGCCUAAUACAUGCAAGUCGAGCGAACAGAUGAGGAGCUUGCUCCUCUGACGUUAGCGGCGGACGGGCGAGUAACACGUGGAUAACCUACCUAUAAGACUGGGAUAACUUCGGGAAACCGGAGCUAAUACCGGAUAAUAUAUUGAACCGCAUGGUUCAAUAGUGAAAGACGGUUUUGCUGUCACUUAUAGAUGGAUCCGCGCCGCAUUAGCUAGUUGGUAAGGUAACGGCUUACCAAGGCAACGAUGCGUAGCCGACCUGAGAGGGUGAUCGGCCACACUGGAACUGAGACACGGUCCAGACUCCUACGGGAGGCAGCAGUAGGGAAUCUUCCGCAAUGGGCGAAAGCCUGACGGAGCAACGCCGCGUGAGUGAUGAAGGUCUUCGGAUCGUAAAACUCUGUUAUUAGGGAAGAACAGAUGUGUAAGUAACUAUGCACGUCUUGACGGUACCUAAUCAGAAAGCCACGGCUAACUACGUG
rnacentral:rRNA from 1 species